rnacentral:rRNA from 1 species
UGGGGAAUCUUGCGCAAUGGGGGAAACCCUGACGCAGCGACGCCGCGUGCGGGAUGAAGGCCUUCGGGUUGUAAACCGCUUUCAGCAGGGACGAGGCCUUAUGGUGACGGUACCUGCAGAAGAAGCUCCGGCUAAAUACGUGCCAGCAGCCGCGGUAAUACGUAUGGAGCAAGCGUUAUCCGGAUUCAUUGGGCGUAAAGCGCUCGUAGGCGGUCUGUUAGGUCGGCAAGUUAAAUCCGGGGGCUCAACCCCCGUCCGCUUCCGAUACCGGCAGACUUGAGUUUGGUAGGGGAAGGUGGAAUUCCUAGUGUAGCGGUGAAAUGCGCAGAUAUUAGGAAGAAUACCGGUGGCGAAGGCGACUUUCUGGUCAUCAUCUGACGCUGAGGUACGAAAGCGUGGGUAGCAAACAGG